UCCGGCUUAUCACCGGCAGUUUCUUUAGAGUGCCCAACUAAAUGAUAGCAACUAAAGACGAGGGUUGCGCUCGUUGCGGCACUUAAGCCAACACCUCACGACACGAGCUGACGACAGCCAUGCAGCACCUGUGCACGCUCCCCUUGCGGGGUCAUCCCACUUUCAUGGUUUUACCACGUGCAUGUCAAGGCCAGGUAAGGUUCUUCGCGUUGCAUCGAAUUAAGCAACAUGCUCCGCCGCUUGUGCGGGCCCCCGUCAAUUCCUUUGAGUUUUAGCCUUGCGGCCGUACUCCCCAGGCGGGGCACUUAAUGCGUUAGCUGCGGCACGGAAUCCGUUGAGUGAAUCCCACACCUAGUGCCCACCGUUUACGGCGUGGACUAC
rnacentral:misc_RNA from 1 species